AGAAGCAGAACUCCAUUGCUCUCUUCAUCUCAUCUGCCUCUCCCCCUCACUACAGACCUCUCCCUCUCCUCUCCUCCUCUCCUCUCCUCUCACUUAUAUCCCUCUUCCUCCUCAUCCCUCUCCUCUUUCUUUCGCCUCUAUAUCUUCUCUCAAUUUAUCCCUAAUUUUAAAAUAAAAAGCCCUAAUUUUCGGAGGUGGCAUUAUUUUUCGGCGAUGGCGGCGAUAGAUUUGUCCACCUUCUUUUUCAUUGGGGUCUGAUGACAGACUAACCGGUUGUGUGGGUCUUGAAACCCAAUUCGACAAUUGCAUGGAGAUAGAAGUUUAAUUCAAGCAUGUGGGAGUUAAUUACAUACGAAGGAAGGCUGAACUUAUUUAUUCAUGCAACUACCAAGUUAAUUCUUUUAUUGCCAUUGGAGGUGGGCCACGAAUUUUGUCCAAAUUUAACAAGUAAUCAUAUAAUCAAGUAUCUACAUGAUGGUGGGUCUUCUCAACAAUUCAUCAUUCAUGCAAGUCAAGUAAUCACGUGGGUCUUAUUCAGAAGAUGAAUGCCUAUAUCUAGCUAGACAAUUUAAAUUACAUGGGACACGGAUUUCUAUACUCUUUAUAUGCGGCAAGCAAAACAACUCAUGGGCCAUUGUGGAAUUUUAGCUAGCAUAUUACAUGAAUGGGAAAACUGAUUCACGCGGAAAUUUACAGCACGACAAAAUGCAGAUUUCUAGAAUUAAUUUUAAAUUCUUUUCUAAUUAGGAUUUCUUUUUUUAAUUAGGAUUUCUUUUUCAAAUUGAUUUCUAUUUCCUUAUAGAAAUUAGGGUUAUAGUUUAUAAAUUUCUAUUAGAAUUUGGAUUGUUUAGAGUAGUAUAAAUAGAGGUUCAAGUUGAUGUAAUCAAAUACAUUAUACAUUAUUCAUUAUUCAAUAUAUUUGUGAGG
rnacentral:lncRNA from 1 species